GGACUCGGGGGUUGGGGGUGGACUUCUUCUGAAGCUGGGAGGGGUGCGGGUGGGCAGGGCUUAGGGAGCCUGAGGGAGGCGCGGUUCCUGGGGGAAGGGUGUGGCGAGGCGGCGGCAGCCCGCGUGGCGCUGUGGCGCCCCAGCGAAGGGGCAGUGCUGGCCACUCGUGUGGCCCUUUGGCUGCUGGCACCCAGUGAGAGGGGGGAGGCCAGGGACAGGUGGCAGCCAGGCUGCCCACAGGCCCUGGGCGGUGGGGGGCCCGGCCCUGUGCCUUGGGCAGCCUGGCCCCUUGCUGAGGCGUGCUUGCGCGUGUCCGUUGUCGCCCUCACCCAGCUGCUGCGGCGGAGAGACGGAGGCCAGCGCGGGGAGCGGAAGCCGGAGCCUGUCGGGAGCGACCCCGGGAGGCCAGUCCCUCCUGCCGGGGGAGGCGUGUUGGCGUGCGGCCGGUGGCGGGAUCGAUGGCCACCUGGUAGGCGAUGAGUCCUUGGUGGUCAUCGAGAACCCUGGAGCCCCUGCGGCAUUUCCCAGAGACGUGGAGGCGGUGGGUGCCAGGUGGUCCUGGGCGGUGCCGAGUCGGCCGCGGACUGGGGUCGAGAGAAGUGCAGGAGGGCCAGAGGUCCUGGGCCAGUGUGCGCAGAGCACCGUGAGGGGGAGUGUUGGGUGCACGGGGCGGCAGUGCCUUCAGGGCGCCUGGGCUAUGAUGUGGGAUAUCCUCAGAGAUUUGGGCGGCGCGUGGAAGGCAGGACGGAGGGGUCCCGGGCACGUGAAUGGGAGCUGGGUGCCUGUGCCCUGGCCGGUCAUGGGUGCCGGCGGGGCAGAGAAGUGUGAGCCCGCGGCCAGCUCCCGGGGCCGCUAAGGUGUCCACACACGGGGCUGGGCAUUGAGGCCGUGCGGCGCCCCUGCCCUGGCUGAGGCCGUGUUCCCGGGGAGGGAGGACAGGGAGUUGCGCAGUGGGAGGCAGUGUGAGGUUGAUACCCAGCAGAGCUAGCCACGCCUGCGGACUGGAGCCCAGCCGAGCUGGUGCCGGGCGGGAGCUGGUGGCAAGGAGGGAGUCUGCUGUGGAGGAAAGGGGGCAGGUGCGGCGGAGGGGUGAGGGCGUGAGUUUCGGUGCGAGGGUCCCGCUGGGCCCAGGGUCUAGUGCGUCUCCCGUGGAGAUGCUGGUGCUGGAG
rnacentral:lncRNA from 1 species